rnacentral:rRNA from 1 species
AUUGAACGCUGGCGGCAGGCUUAACACAUGCAAGUCGAGCGGGGACUUCGGUCCUAGCGGCGAACGGGUGAGGAAUGCUUGGGAAUCUGCCCAGUAGCGGGGGAUAACGUUUCGAAAGGAACGCUAAUACCGCAUACGCCCUACGGGGGAAAGGGGGGGAUCUUCGGACCUCUCACUAUUGGAUGAGCCCAAGUCGGAUUAGCUAGUUGGUGGGGUAAAGGCCUACCAAGGCGACGAUCCGUAGCUGGUCUGAGAGGAUGAUCAGCCACACUGGAACUGAGACACGGUCCAGACUCCUACGGGAGGCAGCAGUGGGGAAUAUUGGACAAUGGGCGAAAGCCUGAUCCAGCCAUGCCGCGCGUGUGAAGAAGGCCUUCGGGUUGUAAGGCACUUUAAGCGAGGAGGAAUGGCUCUUGGUUAAUAACCUUGAGCAGUGACGUUACUCGCAGAAUAAGCACCGGCUAACUCUGUGCCAGCCGCCGCGGUAAAAC